GUCAAUAUCAAUCUGAACGAAUGUACUUCCACAGGAAAGAUGCAAAAAAACAAACAAAAAAUAGGCAAAGGAAGAGGAAAGGACACCGAAACCCAUACAUUUAGUAUUUUGGAUACUUCUCCACAUGUGGCUAGAAAAAUGAAGCUGAGAGAAGAUGAAGUUCAGUGCUGUGAAGAAGAAACAAAACAUUUGGAUGCAGCAUAUGAGCUUGUACUUUGACCCACAUCUGGCUUCAACUAACUCCUUCCUCCUCUGAAAUCUGUCUGAAUUUCUCCUCUGCCCCCUGACACUUUGAGUCUUGCAUUAGAGUAAUCGAUGUGCACAUUUUUUCUCUCUGAAAGCAUGAAUUGUACCUCAAUUAUGUUUUUAACUCCUCUGCUGUCAUUCAUGUGUCAUUCAUUCAAAAUU
rnacentral:lncRNA from 1 species